rnacentral:tRNA from 1 species
GCGGGUGUGGUGUAAUGGUUAUCACGUUAGACUGAAGAGUAUAUUUUCGUAUCCGGUAGAAUAACCGGAUACCCGAAAUGAGCAUCUCGGCCAUCUAAAGGUUCAUGGUUCGAUUCCGUGUACCCGCA